rnacentral:rRNA from 1 species
UUGGAGGGCAAGUCUGGUGCCAGCAGCCGCGGUAAUUCCAGCUCCAAUAGCGUAUAUUAAAGUUGUUGCAGUUAAAAAGCUCGUAGUUGAAUUUCGGGGUCAGUAGGUCGGUCGUGCCACUGGUAUGAACUGGUUUUACUGAUUCCUCCUCCUUGAAGAACUGUAAUGCCAUUAAUUUGGUGUUGCAGGGAAUCAGGACUGUUACUUUGAAAAGGUUAGAGUGUUUAAAGCAGGCUUUAGCUUGAAUACAUUAGCAUGGAAUAAUGAAAUAGGACGUUUGAUCCUAUUUUGUUGGUUUCUAGGAUUGACGUAAUGAUUAAUAGGGAUAGUUGGGGGCAUUAGUACUCAAUUGUCAGAGGUGAAAUUCUUGGAUUUAUUGAAGACUAACUACUGCGAAAGCAUUUGCCAAGGAUGUUUUCAUUAAUCAAGAACGAAAGUUAGGGGAUCGAAGACGAUCAGAUACCGUCGUAGUCUUAACCAUAAACUAUGCCGACUAGGGAUCGGAUGAUGUUAAUUUUUUAAUGACUCAUUCGGCGCCUUACGGGAAAC